CCCCCCCCCCCCGGCUCGGCCACAGCAGCAUCAGUUGGGGUUUCCGAAGGUCAGAAAAUGGCUAUUGAUUAAUCUAUCAGAAUAGUUGCAGAGAGAAAUAAAAAGGACGUAAAAUAACAGAGAACCUAUAAAUAAACCCGCAACUAGCUGCUCGGAGUUGUUUAAACGACUUAGCAUGUGAAAAAGUCGGAAAUGAGGCGCUGGGGAAGGAGCCGGCAUUGGCAGCGGCCUGGGAUAUAGACAAACCCUCCAAGAUUUUAGUUCCUCAGAGACCGGCAACAGAGGAGGUGGAGGAGGAGGCGAGGAUAUGGCCAGUGCACACCGAGUUUCUUUGGCAAGGAAAGUCAGUGAUGGCAGCCUCCUUGCGAGCCGCGAGUGCCUGCCGGGUGUUAAGGGCUCCUGGAACCUAAGCCCAGUCUGGCCACCGAGGCCUGAGAAGGGAGUGCAGGCCUUACCAGAGGAAGGAGCACAAGGGGAGAUAGUCUGAGAAGAAAUAGUGAAAUUCAGUAUUUACAGAAGACACUAAGAAACUGGAUGUAUUUCCUGGAGGACAGUAGUACUUAUGAUUCCCUGUCUGUGUCUCUCUCAUCUACCACCUCUCUCAUUCCUUAGCCUGGACACAUACGUAAACUUGCUUCACUUAUAGGCAGUGCGACACACAGAUUGACUUCAACUUUCAUUAGAUAAUUUCCCGGAUAAAACACUAGCACAUUGGAUCCCCCACUUCGCAGGAUGUUUCUGGUUGAAGCCGGGGCAGUUCCUCCAUCUUGAGACGCCCAGGAAACUCCACGAUUUUUCUGUAUCUAAAUGAUACCCCGGUUGCACUUGACCCUAAAAUGCAUCUGAGUUCAUUCCCGCAGCUGCACCGCUUUGUGGCCCGCAGGCUCCGAACCGUUUACAAUACCUUUUAGACAGCUUCCCGCAAAACCGACUGCAGCGGCGAACUGGCUGCCCGCUGUCCCUCGGCAGCGGAGGUCCCGGGUGAAACUGUCUUAGUAACCCAAUAAUUACAAAAAGAACGUCGGAGGGGCACUUAAAAGAAACUGAAUCCACAAAU